AACGAACGCUGGCGGCAUGCCUAACACAUGCAAGUCGAACGAAGCCUUCGGGCUUAGUGGCGCACGGGUGCGUAACGCGUGGGAAUCUGCCCUUUGGUUCGGAAUAACAGUUGGAAACGACUGCUAAUACCGGAUGAUGACGAAAGUCCAAAGAUUUAUCGCCAGAGGAUGAGCCCGCGUAGGAUUAGCUAGUUGGUGUGGUAAAGGCGCACCAAGGCGACGAUCCUUAGCUGGUCUGAGAGGAUGAUCAGCCACACUGGGACUGAGACACGGCCCAGACUCCUACGGGAGGCAGCAGUGGGGAAUAUUGGACAAUGGGCGAAAGCCUGAUCCAGCAAUGCCGCGUGAGUGAUGAAGGCCUUAGGGUUGUAAAGCUCUUUUACCCGGGAUGAUAAUGACAGUACCGGGAGAAUAAGCUCCGGCUAACUCCGUGCCAGCAGCCGCCGCCG
rnacentral:rRNA from 1 species